UACAGAGGGGGCAAGCGUUGUUCGGAAUUACUGGGCGUAAAGGGCGCGUAGGCGGCCUUCUAAGUCGAACGUGAAAUCCCCGGGCUCAACUUGGGAACUGCGUCUGAUACUGGAUGGCUUGAAUUCGGGAGAGGGAUGCAGAAUUCCAGGUGUAGCGGUGAAAUGCGUAGAUAUCAGGAGGAACACCGGUGGCGAAGGCGGGUCUCUGGGCCGAUACUGACGCUGAGGAGCGAAAGCGUGGGGAGCGAACAGG
rnacentral:rRNA from 1 species